rnacentral:rRNA from 1 species
CCCGUAAGGGACUGCGGAGGACAUUAUAGAACAAGUUAGAUUAGAUUGUCGCUGGCUAGGUGAUUCUAGCAUCGUGCACAUCUAUGAUAAUAUUUCUAUAUACACACACACCCGUGCACACAUUUGUAGAUCGAGAGAUCUAUGUAUUUACACAAUCACUACCAAUCGUAUGUCUACAGAACGUAAUAAAAUACAACUUUCAGCAAUGGAUCUCUUGGUUCUCGCAUCGAUGAAGAACGCAGCGAAUCGCGAUAAGUAAUGUGAAUUGCAGAUUUUCAGUGAAUCAUCGAAUCUUUGAACGCACCUUGCGCUCCUUGGUAUUCCGAGGAGCAUGCCUGUUUGAGUGUCAUUUAAUCAUCAACCACUAGUCUUUGAUUAGGCUUAGUUGGCUUGGACUUGGGAUCUGCUGGCUAACGUCGGCUGUCCUUAAAUAUAUUAGCAAGUGGACAUCUAUUACAUGGCACGGCCUCAUGGCGUGAUAAGGAUCGUCAUGGGCUGGAAGUGUAAUGGAACUAGAAGCAUGCUUAUAAUGAUAGUAUUCAGUCUGUGUAGACUAGAAGUAUAGUUAUUCGAAGCUAGUCGAACGAAGUGAAAUGCUAUGUGCAUACGGCCUUAAUUGCUGGAAGGCAUAGUAUGAAGCUAGUUAGUGGAAUGCUUAUGUGUAUACGGCCUUACCGCUGGAAGCAUAGUGUGAAGCUAGUUAGUGAAAUGCUUAUGUGUAUACGGCCUUAUCGCUGGAAGCAUAGUAUGAAGCUAGUUACUAAGUGAAAUGCUCAUGUGUAUAUAUAUUAUGGCUUUAUCGCUGGAAGCAAUAGUAUAAAGCUAGUUAGUGAAGUGCUUAUGUGUAUACGCUUUACCGCUGGAAGCAUAGUAUGAAGCUAGUUAGUGAAAUGCUAUAGUGUAUACGGCCUUAUCGCUGGAAGCAUAGUAUGAAGCUAAUUACUAAGUGAAAUGCUAUCGUGUAUUACGGCCUUACCGCUGGAGCAUAGUGUUUAGCUUAGCUAGUAGUGAAAUGCUAUGAGUGUAUGCAUAUAUAUAGUGUGAAGCUAGUUAAGACAGCAAAGAUAGCUAUGUUGUAUA